CAGCCUGAAUUAAUUCAAUCUCUGUAAGGGCAAAUGACAAGGCAGCAAAGUACCCGAAGUUUCAACGUUGCGC
rnacentral:lncRNA from 1 species